rnacentral:rRNA from 1 species
AUAGACAGCCAGGAGGUUGGCUCAGAAGCAGCCAUCCUUGAAAGAGUGCGUAACAGCUCACUGGUCUAGUGGUUCCGCGCCGACAAUGUAGCGGGGCUUAAGCACGCCACCGAAGACGCGACUGCAUGAUUUAGUUCAUGUGGGGUAGGAGAGCGUCCUGUAUGGGGUGAAGCGGCAGUGUGAACUUGUCGUGGACUAUACGGGAGUGAGAAUGCAGACAUGAGUAGCGAGAGACAGGUGUGAAUCCUGUCCGCUGAAUGACUAAGGGUUCCGGGGCCACGUUCGUCGUCCCCGGGUGAGUCGAGUCCUAAGGCGAGGCCGACAGGCGUAGUCGAAUGGAUGAACGGGUUGAUAUUCCCGUACCGGUGUUACACCGUUCGAACUGAAUCUGAGAGUACUAACCUUCGUUAUUCUGGUUGAUUAUCUUUCGGGGUUUUCUUCUGGUUUAGUGUUGGGACUGUAUCGGUAGUAGGUUAGCGUGGGAGUGACGCGGGUAGGUAGCCGGCUGCGGAGGUGGUUUUCCGUGGCUAAGCGUGUGGGCUGUCCUCUAGGUAAAUCCGGGGGAUGUUAAGCUGAGGCGUGAUGGGUAGGCUGUAAGGCUGAUUCCGGUGAUCCUGCUUGCCGAGAAAAGCUUCAACGUGAGGUGUGAUUCCGCUCGUACCCUAAACCGACACUGGUGGUCUGGUAGAGUAUACCAAAGCGAUCGGGCGAAUCCUGGCCAAGGAACUCGGCAAAUUACUCCCGUGCCUUCGGCAUAAGGGAGACCCCUGAUGGUGAUGUUUUUUACAAGCGGAGCUGUUGGGGGUGGCACAAGCUAGGGGGUAGCGACUGUUUACCAAAAACACAGGAGCGUGCGAAGGCGUAAGCCGCUGUAUACGCUCUGACGCCUGCCCGGUGCCGGAAGGUUAAGAGGAUCCGUUAGCUUCGGUGAAGCGGUGAAUUUAAGCCCCGGUAAACGGCGGUGGUAACUAUAACCAUCCUAAGGUAGCGAAAUUCCUUGUCGGGUAAGUUCCGACCUGCACGAAUGGCGUAACGACUUCCCCACUGUCUCGGCCAGGAGCCCGGCGAAAUUGCAGUACGAGUAAAGAUGCUCGUUAAGCGCAGAAGGACGAAAAGACCCCGGGACCUUUACUAUACCUUGGUAUUGUCGUUAGGUGUGGAUCGUGUAGCAUAGGCGGGAGGCUGUGAAGCGUGGGCGCUAGCUUG